rnacentral:rRNA from 1 species
GACGAACGCUGGCGGCGUGCUUAACACAUGCAAGUCGAACGGUAAGGCCCUUCGGGGUACACGAGUGGCGAACGGGUGAGUAACACGUGGGUGAUCUGCCCUGCACUUCGGGACAAGCCUGGGAAACUGGGUCUAAUACCGGAUAGGACCACUGCCUGCAUGGGUGGUGGUGGAAAGCUUUUGCGGUGUGGGAUGGGCCCGCGGCCUAUCAGCUUGUUGGUGGGGUGAUGGCCUACCAAGGCGACGACGGGCAGCCGGCCUGGGAGGGUGACCGGCGACACUGGGACUGAGAUACGGCCCAGACUCCUACGGGAGGCAGCAGUGGGGAAUAUUGCACAAUGGGCGCAAGCCUGAUGCAGCGACGCCGCGUGAGGGAUGACGGCCUUCGGGUUGUAAACCUCUUUCAGCACCGACGAAGCGCAAGUGACGGUAGGUGCAGAAGAAGGACCGGCCAACUACGUGCCAGCAGCCGCCGUAAAAC